ACCAGACUCCUACGGGAGGCAGCAGUGGGGGAUAUUGCACAAUGGGGGGAACCCUGAUGCAGCGACGCCGCGUGGGUGAAGAAGCGCCUCGGCGCGUAAAGCCCUGUCAGCAGGGAAGAAAAUGACGGUACCUGAAGAAGAAGCCCCGGCUAACUACGUGCCAGCAGCCGCGGUAAUACGUAGGGGGCAAGCGUUAUCCGGAUUUACUGGGUGUAGAGGGGGCGCAGACGGCGAUGCAAGCCAGGAGUGAAAGCCCGGGGCCCAACCCCGGGACUGCUCUUGGAACUGCGUGGCUGGAGUGCAGGAGGGGCAGGCGGAAUUCCUGGUGUAGCGGUGAAAUGCGUAGAUAUCAGGAGGAACACCGGUGGCGAAGGCGGCCUGCUGGACUGCAACUGACGUUGAGGCCCGAAAGCGUGGGGAGCAAACAGGAUUAGAUACCCCUGUAU
rnacentral:rRNA from 1 species